UACAGAGGUCACAAGCGUUAUCCGGAUUUAUUGGGCGUAAAGCGUUUCGUAGGUGAUUUGUUAAGUUGCUCUUCAAAGACCACGGCUCAACCGGGGGAAGGGGAGUAAGACUGGCAGAAUUGAAUUGUGGUGGGGUUUCUGGAACUGGUGGUGUAGUAGUGAAAUACGUUGAUAUCAUCAGGAACUCCAAGGGCGAAGGCAGGAAACUAACCAUAUAUUGACACUGAGGAACGACAGCUAGGGUAGCGAAAGGG
rnacentral:rRNA from 1 species